UCGGAGUAAAGACAGUGGGGUCUGGAAUGGGGUGAAAAGCAGGCUGCGGCUGCCGGGAAGGCUGACCACCGAGAGCUGGACGUUGCUAUCUGACCCCUGCCCCGGAAGGCCUCAUCCAGGCGUGCGGAUGGGAAGCACGAGAGGCCUCAGACUGCAAGGCUCAGCGACCCACAGGCCGUGGUGGAGGCAGGGCCCUGGGGCGGGGACGCUGGAGCCACUUUGAUUUCCAGCGGGAGAGCCGCGCUCUGAGAGACCCCAGGAGAUGGCGCUGUCCUGUGUCGGGGAUCAGAGGGCUCCAGGGACCUGCUGGCCGCCUGCCUGACUGUCUCUGCGGCAUGGGCUGUGCUCUGAGCAGAACACGCAUGCCCUUCUCCCUGCCUGGUCUCCUCCAUUCCGAUGCACGUCUCCUCGAAUCCCGCCCUUUCCUUCACGCUCAGCAACAAAUCCGUCCUGGAGAGCAGGCCGGCAAGAAAGCAGCUGAGAAACCAGCUUGGUGAUGACAGCUCAGCUGUGUGCUUACAUCAUUUUCACAACGUAAUGGCUUCAAAAGGCCUUUCGUAACAUCGUUAAGAAGACACAAUUAGCGAAGCCUGGAAACGAUCACAUCAAAACAGAACUGCGGCAGCAACAGCUAGCCUUUGUCGCUCCGUUACGGUGUCGUAAGAACUGCUCCGCUGGCCUGUAGGAGCGAACCCAUCUACUCCUCCCACCAGCACUAAGCAGUUACUACUACUGUGAGCCCGCUUUUGAAAUGGAGGACACCGAGGCACAGAGAGCUGCCUUGUGAAGACGCAGAGAUCAUAAAUGGCAGAACAAGAAUUCGAACCCGCGUCGUCUGGGUCCAGAGCCACGUUCUGGACCGCUGCAGUGGAGUAAGGGAAAUGCAUGGGAAGGCAGACGACAGAGAGAGGUCUUUUCAGAAAGGUUCGGUUUCCCAUCGCGGCUGUAAUGCGCACGGGAAAGGCGCAGACCAGAGAGACCCAGGUACAAGCAGCUGGUCGUGCUCCUUAUGACUAAGCCAGGCCGUAGGACAACCUGCAGUGUUUCUACAGAGUGCGGCUGGGCAGGGCUCGUGAGACUGGGAGAGACUGUCAGUCACGUCAGCGCCGACUUCUCAGGGCCGCCUUGGGGUCACCAUGGCGCGGGCUUUCGGAACAGGAAAGCACAGGCAUCGUUGCAAAAGACGUGACUCUCACCCACAAAGUAAUCAGAGCAGAUGGCAAACGAUAAAAUCUUAAGCGACGUGGCUCGGACAAUAAAUGCGAGUACGGAAUAGCAAGUG